ACAGAUCGUUCAGAGUUUGAUCCUGGCUCAGGAUGAACGCUGGCGGCGUGCUUAACACAUGCAAGUCGAGCGAGAAAUCGGGAAAUGAAACUUCGGUAGAUUUGAACGAUGGAAAGCGGCGGACGGGUGAGUAACACGUGGGAAACCUGCCUUUUGCAGAGGGACAGCCGAGGGAAACUUCGAUUAAUACCUCAUAACGCAUCAUCGUCGCAUGGCGGAGAUGCCAAAGAUUUAUCGGCAAGAGAUGGUCCCGCGUCUGAUUAGCUGGUUGGUGAGGUAGCGGCUCACCAAGGCGACGAUCAGUAGCCGGCCUGAGAGGGUGAACGGUCACAUUGGAACUGAGACACGGUCCAG
rnacentral:rRNA from 1 species